GUAGGGAAUCUUCCGCAAUGGACGAAAGUCUGACGGAGCAACGCCGCGUGAGUGAUGAAGGUCUUCGGAUUGUAAAGCUCUGUUAAUCGGGACGAAAGAGCCUAGUGUGAAUAAUGCUAGGAAGUGACGGUACCGGAAUAGAAAGCCACGGCUAACUACGUGCCAGCAGCCGCGGUAAUACGUAGGUGGCAAGCGUUGUCCGGAAUUAUUGGGCGUAAAGCGCGCGCAGGCGGAUCUGCCAGUCUGUCUUAAAAGUUCGGGGCUUAACCCCGUGAUGGGAUGGAAACUACAGAUCUAGAGUAUCGGAGAGGAAAGUGGAAUUCCUAGUGUAGCGGUGAAAUGCGUAGAUAUUAGGAAGAACACCAGUGGCGAAGGCGACUUUCUGGACGAUGUCUGACGCUGAGGCGCGAAAGCUAGGGGAGCGAACGGGAUUAGAAACCCUAGUAGUCC
rnacentral:rRNA from 1 species